rnacentral:rRNA from 1 species
GAUGAACGCUGGCGGCGUGCCUAAUACAUGCAAGUCGAGCGAACAGAUCAGGAGCUUGCUCCUUUGACGUUAGCGGCGGACGGGUGAGUAACACGUGGUUAACCUACCUAUAAGACUGGGAUAACUUCGGGAAACCGGAGCUAAUACCGGAUAACAUUUGGAACCGCAUGGUUCUAAAGUGAAAGAUGGUUUUGCUAUCACUUAUAGAUGGACCCGCGCCGUAUUAGCUAGUUGGUAAGGUAACGGCUUACCAAGGCGACGAUACGUAGCCGACCUGAGAGGGUGAUCGGCCACACUGGAACGGAGACACGGUCCAGACUCCUACGGGAGGCAGCAGUAGGGAAUCUUCAGCAAUGGGCGAAAGCCUGACGGAGCAACGCCGCGUGAGUGAUGAAGGGUUUCGGCUCGUAAAACUCUGUUAUUAGGGAAGAACAAAUGUGUAAGUAACUGUGCACGUCUUGACGGUACCUAAUCAGAAAGCCACGGCUAACUACGUG